rnacentral:rRNA from 1 species
GAUGAACGCUAGCGGCAGGCCUAACACAUGCAAGUCGAGGGAGAAGCCCUUUCGGGGGCAGAAACCGGCGCACGGGUGCGUAACGCGUAUGCAACCUACCUUUCACAGGGGGAUAGCCCGAAGAAAUUUGGAUUAAUACCCCAUAAUAUUAUUGGAUGGCAUCAUUUGAUAAUUAAAACUGCGGUGGUGAAAGAUGGGCAUGCGUCCUAUUAGCUAGUUGGAGUGGUAACGGCACCCCAAGGCUACGAUAGGUAGGGGUCCUGAGAGGGAGAUCCCCCACACUGGUACUGAGACAGGGACCAGGCCCCUACGGGAGGCAGCAGUGAGGAAUAUUGGUCAAUGGUCGGAAGACUGAACCAGCCAUGCCGCGUGCAGGAAGAAUGCCUUAUGGGUUGUAAACUGCUUUUAUAUGGGAAGAAUAAGGCGUACGUGUACGUUGAUGACGGUACCAUAUGAAUAAGCAUCGGCUAACUCCGUG